ensembl:lncRNA
GAUACAGUAGGACGCAUGCUCUGCUCUCCUUGUACUCAUCCUGCAUUCAACAGCUGUUUUCUAAGUACCUAGUAGGGGCUGUCGCGUUCUAGUUGCUGAUCCCAGAGUUUGCUCGGCAGGAUUCACAUGCACACACAAGAAAAGAGCCAGCCUUUGAACUGCUAACUCCAGGGAACCUCAACCACCAGUGAACUUUCCAACCCUGGGAUUGAACCCACAUCUCCUGCAGUACAGACAGCUUUUUACCGCUGAGCCACUGAAGAAGCCUGGUGAACAUUUAUACACAUAGAUUCAAUGACUUCCCAGGUGGCUCAGUGAUAAAGAAUCCUCCUGCCAAGCGGGAGACCUAGGUUCCACCCCUGGAUUAGGAAGAGCCCCUGGAGAAGGAAGUGGCAACCCACUCCAGUAUUCUUGCCUGGGAAAUCCCACAGAAAGAGGGGCCUGGAGGGCUACAGUCCAUGGGUCACAAAGGCUCAGACAUGACUGAGUGACUGAAUGCACACAUUAGAGAGGUUGAAACUUUGAUUGUGGCAUCCGUGCCCAGCAGCUGCAGAAGCUGGGGAGGCAGGGUUUUUGAAGUUGACCUUGUUACAGCACUCAGUGAGCAGACUAGAAAUAUUACCUGGGACAUGAAUGGACAGAGAAGACUUUAUUUUUCCUGUAGUUCAAGUUUUAGGUAUAAAGAAUGAGACUAUCCUAUUGAAAUGAUGGAGAAAUAAGCUAAAGACACCUCCAAAGAUAUAAACAGCAUGAUUAUGAAAUAGGGAUGUCUUAUAUGGGAAUAAUCAAAUCACCUCAGAAGCAAGAGUCCACAUUCCAACCCCAUUUCCCUGCAUCCAGGCCUGAUAACAAACCAGCAAGCAAAGCAUAAGCAAAUCCUGCAGCUAGGAAAAUGGCAAAGUCAAAAAUGAGCCAGGGAAAAUUUGCAUCGGGAGGGAGGUAUUUUCUUGCAUGAAACACUAAUGGGACCAGGAACC